AGAAUCAACGCUGGCGGCGUGCCUAACACAUGCAAGUCGAACGAGAAAGUGGAGCAAUCCAUGAGUAAAGUGGCGCACGGGUGAGUAACACGUGACUAACCUACCCUUGAGUGGGGGAUAACCUAGAGAAAUCUGGGCUAAUACCGCAUAAUACCUUCGGGUCAAAGGAGCAAUUCGCUUAAGGAGGGGGUCGCGGCCGAUUAGUUAGUUGGCGGGGUAAUGGCCCACCAAGACUGUGAUCGGUAUCCGGCCUGAGAGGGCGCACGGACACACUGGAACUGAAACACGGUCCAGACUCCUACGGGAGGCAGCAGUGGGAAUUUUGCGCAAUGGGGGAAACCCUGACGCAGCAACGCCGCGUGGAGGAUGAAGCCCCUUGGGGCGUAAACUCCUUUCGAUCGGGAAGAUAAUGACGGUACCGAGAGAAGAAGCCCCGGCUAACUUCGUGCCAGCAGCCG
rnacentral:rRNA from 1 species